AUGAGAGGGGACCUAGUCGCGGGGUGGGGGGACAAAAUGUCACAAGAAAGAAGAAGAAAGAAGCACCAUCACAGAGAACAUUUGGACACCACUACAGCAUCUGCACAAGGCCUGUUCCAACCAAGAGCCAAAACUGGAUUAAAUUUACUUUUGGACCUUUGACUUGUUUUUUGGUCGUGCCGGAUUUAUCGAGGAAACAGUUUUCGCAUAACCAGCAGGAUCAGAUGACACAGGCAGACUCCUCACUGGCCGCAGCAUUGUGUAACACCAGUCAGUGCUGUUGUUUAUCGUCCUGGACUGUCGGGGAGUCGUCCUGUCCUGUACUGGAUCUGCACAAACAGCCAAGAUAAAAAAAAAAUGCGUGUGCUUUGAUAAAUAUUAAGACAAGAACGAUAAAUUUGCACCAAAUCCGAAUAGACUAAAAGAUGUAAAAAUGAAACUACAGCAGGGUGUGUCUCUCUCUCACCGGCCCCAUCUGUGAAUAAGCGUCCCGGGCAAAGUGUUUCAUGGUCAGAGGAGGUGUAGAGGGAUAAGUGUGCAAGAUGGACAGUGAGGGUGUUGGGCUGAGAAGCGCUGAGAGUGUAAAGCAGAUGUUUGAACCUGACAGGGAGAGUAAAAUGAAGAAUAAGUGAAAGUGGUGGUGAGAGAGUAGGCUGAUCCACAGAUGAGAGACGCCCGAAUGUUUAGUCAAACCCACAAAAACUUCUGCUGUUAUUUCACAUACUUAUACUUACAUAGCUCCGGAAAUCAGUAAAAAUGCAAAAGAAGGCUGCACAGAAACUCAACUGUUAUUCCAGACAUGCAAAGAUUUGUUGACGUUUCCUAUCAUUCUAUAAAAAUGGAACUGAGAGGUGGAAAGUGGCACCCAUUACUAUUGUAUAGAAUUAAAAAAAAUAAUAAUUUAAAGCACAAAGAGCCACCCACUUGCAGAAGCAUGUCCAUGAGACAGGAAAUUUUAUUCUCUACUCUGCGCCACGCCCCGGAAGAGCUCAAACCUCAGCCAAGAUGCACCACAUCGCCACCCUCCGUCACUCCUUUUCCUCCCCAUUCCUUUUGUUUACAGGAAGCAGCUGAAGGGAUAGCACCUUAAAUCAAGUCUCACUCAUCUUAUCUAUGUUUUCUUAGGUUCACCGUGUCCACGGCAACAUUGUUCCUCCAGUCGCGGACGAUGGCAUGAGAGCUCUUAGCCAGACUAAAGCAACAAAACCAUAAAUUGUAAACAUUACAGAACAGCCUGUUGCCUGUAAACAAAUUGCCUUGUGACUGUUGAUCUUCAAUAUUUUGGCUCAGAUAAACAAACUGGACUUGCAUGAAAAUUCCCACCGACUGCAGGAAGCCUCAGCCCUGCCAUGUAAAAGAUAAAACCUGUUGCUAGUGGCAACAGCACAAAGAUACAGUAGAUCAUGAUGACACUGCUGUCACUGUGGACAUGAUAAAUAUCACCCAAGUCUCUUCAAAGCAAUUAAGACAAAGCAUCUUUGGAUUUUCUGAUGCUGUCGGGUAAAAAACAUUGCAGCUAAAAUCAUUAUUGUUUUAAUGUAUUACCCCUCAGUGUGACUGCAGGAGGACAUUUUUUUUAAAAAGACAAGUUUUAACUUGGUGAAAACAUUUAAUGAUAAACUCAAAAAUGCCUGAAUAUUCUUCUUAGUUGACAUUUUGAAGUUGCAACUUUUUCACCUGACCGCAGCAGUCUCUUCUAUUAUUUUUUUCGCUGCCAUUAUUAUUCUUAAUUUUAAGUCUUUAUUGUAAGAUCUUUAAGUGACACAGGCCUCAUGCAGAAACAGUUUCCUUUGGUGGUGCAAACGUUUGACCAGGUUUUCCUUUUACUAUACACAAAUGUCUAUUGCUGUACAUAUGUGUUGCUAUUCAAAUGGGCUCAUUCUGUUAAGUAUACACUGUAAACACGAGGCACUGAAACAUUGAGCAGACCUCUGUGCCUGGUACUUGUGACCCACAUUAUGCCAGAUCACGCAAAUACACUUUUUUUUUUUUUUUAAAAGAACUGUGAUGCCAGUUUGUCUCCGGUAACAGAAAGGGGAACGUGACAACAAGUGACUUUCUUGACCCCCAAACCUGAACAGAAACAGCCCCCUUCUCUAUAGUCCCAGAAAAAAACAUAACUUCAUCAAAUGACUUGUGAAAAUGUUAAUCUGUGUGUGUGCUGAUUGUAUUUUAAACAUGUAUGAUGUGACAGUAAAGGGGAAAGAGGUCAGACUUUAUAUAUACACAUACAUAUAUUAGGGGGGAAAUAAAAGCUUGGCCUGGUGUACUAAUCUAGCACUAACGUCAGCGUAGUUACUGUAGCCAGGCAGCAGUUCAAGCUGUGGAAGUAGCUGUGUCUCAGCAGCACGACAGAGCCUGGACCCUGUAUCCUGCACCAACGUGAUGCCCAGCCUGCUUUAAUGCACAGCCAGGGCCCCCCUGCUGAUUCAGGAUCUCUCUCCAAUGAGACUACAAACACACAACAACCUUUGACUACUUGAAUCAACUCUGACCAGAAUGGCAUCAAGAAGAAAAACAUUUUUUUUUUUUUUAAAAGGUCAGAAACAUCAUGAAUGAGGAGAUGCAGAUCUGCCUGGAAGAAGUUUCCCUCCAACUGAACCUAAUCAAUGUCAUGUUGUUCAUUAGAAAGUGGAAAGAAGCUGUGUAGUAAGCAGUACUGAUGAAAAGCAGUUUGAGAUUUAUUUCUGUGUUGUUGUGUGUGUUUGUCAUUAAAAAUGCUUAAAUGAUUAAACUGGUCUUAGCACGGUCAGGCCAACCUGAAAAAAAACAGUGUUUCUGUUCCCUCGCUAAUCUUUCUGUGUUGUGAGUCUAUUGUGAAAACUUUUCUUUCUUUGCAGGCAUGCUCUGUGUGAUGUUUUGUGUUUUGUUUCACUGUAUGUGUCACUAAAAGGCAGACAGGACCUUGGACAGAAAGGUACUGGAAUAAAAACGCUUAAUUGUGUGUCUA